rnacentral:rRNA from 1 species
CCUACGGGAGGCAGCAGUGGGGAAUAUUGCACAAUGGGGGAAACCCUGAUGCAGCGACGCCGCGUGAGUGAAGAAGUAUUUCGGCACGUAAAGCUCUAUCAGCAGGGAAGAAAAUGACGGUACCUGACUAAGAAGCCCCGGCUAACUACGUGCCAGCAGCCGCGGUAAUACGUAGGGGGCAAGCGUUAUCCGGAUUUACUGGGUGUAAAGGGGGCGUAGACGGCGAAUCAAGCCAGAAGUGAAAACCCAGGGCCCAACCUCGGGAGUGCUUUUGAAACUGAGUAGCUAGAGUGCAGGAGAGGUAAGCGGAAUUCCUGGUGUAGCGGUGAAAUGCGUAGAUAUUAGGAGGAACACCAGUGGCGAAGGCGGCCUACUGGACUGUAACUGACGUUGAGGCCCGAAAGCGUGGGGAGCAAACAGGAUUAGAUACCCGGGUAGUC